ensembl:lincRNA
CUUUGCACAGUAAAGUAGUUAUAAGGUGAAGAACCAGGCCAAGCUCUUCUAGGAAGAAAAACGAAUAGGAAAUGAAUGACUUUGCUGGACCACACACAGUGAACCACAGGUUGAAGAGCAAAGGAGCCAACCAAUCAUGGACUAAAACCUCAGCAACUGUUGUCUCCCUGAUGUGCUACAGUGAUAGCAAAAUGACUACGACAGAAUAGUUGGAAGAGUGGAAGCUGCACCAUAUUUAUUUGCUGAUGAUGCUUCUUUGGGAUAUGACCAAAUUAUGGUAUACUGAGGCACAGAGUGAUAAGGGGUUUGACUUAGCCCAUAAUAAACAUUUGUAACACGAGAAUAACAGGGCAAGACAUUCCAAAGUGAAAUGCUAGGUGAGGAAGAGAGGGUACUGAUAGACAAUAGAAGACAAGCCAAGUAAAGACAAAAGUUAUAUGUGAUCAGAAGAAUGAAAAGAAGAAAAGGAGAACCAAGUGGAUUGUAGCCCCUAAAACGAUCAUUAAAAUUUAAGAGGCAGAGGUGAAAUCAGAGAAAUAGCAGUGAAGAUCAGGGUGUUCAAGACUGAUGCUGCAGCUGUAAUGAUGAACGCAGACCAAAGAUUGAAUUAAAUCCGCAAAUUAUCGGUAAAACAUACCACACCACUGGAUGUGUCUGUGAGACUGUUCCUGGGAAGAUCAAGCAGCUAGUGAGUCCGGCUCUGACUAUGGGUAAUACUAUCCCAUAAGCUAAGGGCUCCAAUAUGAUUAAAGACCUAAGGAAAAGGCUUAUGCAUGAAUUCUUUCUCUAAAUCCUAACCAAUAUUAUUUGACCUGCUCUCCAGCACAUACCAUGCUAGAAUAAAAUCUCUUAAGCC